UAGUUUUGUGGUGAGCCGAGGAGAGGCGGCGAGACCCGACUGUGCCCGGUGGUGGGACUAGCACCUGAGGCGGGCGACGGGGACGACACACGCGCGCACGCACAGCGAGCGGAGCCGGUUGGUCGUAUUUCUUCCAUCUUCCAGUUCCGGGGGGCCUCGCUCUCCCGGCGUCCCGCCAGCAAGCUGUUUCCCGCGGGGAGGCACGAGAUGGCCCGAUCCAUGUUGGCGACGGCCACCAGCCUGGUGCUCACCACCACCGUGGUCACCCACGCCUACUAUCUCAAGCGCCAGUUCUACCCCACUGUGGUCUACCUCACCAAGUCCAGCCCCAGCAUGGCUGUGCUGUACAUCCAGGCCUUUGUCUUGGUCUUUCUCGUCGGCAAGUUCAUGAGGAAGGUGUUCUUCGGGCAACUGCGGGCUGCAGAGAUGGAGCAUUUAAUCGAACGCUCCUGGUACGCAGUGACGGAGACCUGCCUGGCGUUCACCGUCUUCAGGGACGACUUCAGCCCGCGCUUUGUGGCCAUCUUCACCCUGCUCCUCUUCCUCAAGUGCUUCCACUGGCUGGCAGAGGACCGCGUGGACUUUAUGGAGAGGAGCCCGAACAUCUCCGUGCUGUUCCACCUCCGUGUUACCUCACUCAUGGGCUUGCUCACUGUGUUAGACCUCCUGUUUGUAAACCACGCUUGUCACAGCAUCAUGACCCGAGGCGCGUCUGUCCAGCUGGUGUUCGGCUUUGAGUACGCCAUACUUCUCACCAUGGUGCUGACCAUCUUCAUCAAGUACGUCCUCCACACCAUUGACCUUCAGAGCGAGAAUCCCUGGGACAACAAGGCCGUUUACAUGCUGUACACGGAGCUGCUGACCGGCUUCAUCAAGGUGCUGCUCUACAUGGCCUUCAUGACCAUCAUGAUCAAGGUGCACACGUUCCCGCUGUUCGCCAUUCGUCCCAUGUACCUGACCAUGAGGCAAUUCAAGAAGGCCGUGACGGAUGCCAUCAUGUCACGGCGGGCCAUUCGCAACAUGAACACGCUGUACCCUGACGCCAGCCCAGAGGAGCUGCAACUUACGGACAACGUUUGUAUUAUCUGCCGAGAGGAGAUGGUGACGGGAGCCAAGCGAUUGCCGUGUAACCACAUCUUCCACACCAGCUGCCUCCGCUCCUGGUUCCAGCGCCAGCAGACCUGCCCCACCUGUCGCAUGGACGUGCUGCGCACCACGCAGCCCGCGCCCACGCAGCAGCCGCCGCUGCAGCAGCCCCAGCCGCAGACGCCCUUGGUGCCCCAGCAACCGAACCUGCCUCCGGGAAUGAUGCCACCCUUCCCGCCGGGGCUGUUCCCCUUCUGGCCGCCGAUGGGCCACAUGGGCCAGAACCUCUUCCCUCAGGCCCCACCGGCCGCCCCCAACACGCAGCAACCAAACGCUAACGCCCCCUCCGGGUCAAACGCUCAGGUCAACGCUGCUACUGGUGAUUCCUCGAGGAGCGGAGACUCCAUGGCAGGGACCGGCUUGGAAGCGCCGCCCACGGGCUCCAUCCCAGGAUUUCCUUUCACCUUCCCUCCGUUCCCAACGGCUCCUUGGGUGGGAAUGCCGCCACUUCCGUUCGCGAUGCCUCCGAUGCCGUUGCCCCCGUCGGGAUUUGCCGGGCUGACGGAAGAGGAGCUGCGUGCGAUGGAAGGGCAGGAACGUCAGAACCUGGAGGCCCGGCUCCAGUGCCUGCAGAACAUCCACACACUGCUCGACGCGGCCAUGGUCCACAUCCACCAGUAUCUCGCCGUGGUGGCCACCCUCAGCCCCCCCAGGCCGACGACAACCGAGAGAGCGGCGCCCAGCACGGAGUCGCCGGAGCCGGCAGCGGGAGCGCAGGCAGAUUCACCGGGAGCGUCUCCCUCUCCCACUCCCACUCCCACUCCAGCGGCCGACACCACCCCGACAGAACCAGCACCGACUCCCGAGGAAAUAGGACCGAACGACCUGGAGGGGGCGGUGGGCUUCACAGCGCCAGAUUCGCCUGGCCGCCGCGGCCACGACGGAGACGAGGAGGAGGAGGAAGCCCGGCUGGGGGAGCCGGACGCCGCGGAGCUGCGGCGUCGGCGUCUACGGAAUCUGGAGCGGCCCGGAGCCCCGCUCUAACCAACCGCUGGCUGCCGGCCUCGAUGGUGGUGGUGGUGCGGAGGGGAGGCCCAGGAAAGUCAACCGGGCCUUGUUUGUGUGUGUGUGUGUGUGCGCGCGUGCGUGAGGGAAGUCUGCGGGGGGGGUGGGGGCUCCACUAUUUGCUCGACCGGUCCCCCCACCCCCACUUCCGCCGACUGCCAUCGAUUCACCGGCUGACCCCGAGGUCCAAUCUCCACGACUCCAGUAAACCAUACACCAGCCGCCACCUCUUGUCCUGUGCUCUUCAGUCGUUCCAGACACCACUAGGCACCGUUUAAAUUUUUUUUUCUCUUUCUCUCUUUCUCUGUCUCUAAAGCUGGUCUGGAUUUUUGACACGGUCUCCCCCACCAUGCGCCCAGAGUUGGCGUCAACCCAUCUGCAUUGCUUCAGAGCCAAGCCCUGGCACAGAUGGCAGCACUGGGGCCUGUUCUGUGAGGUCCCCUUUCUUUUAGCCUGAAGUAGGCCACUGGUGACCUGUGGCCUGCUUCAGCGUAGGCCCCAGCCUUUAGUCGGACAAGGGAGGUGACCUGUGGUCUGCUUCAGCGUAGGCCCCAGCCUUUAGUCGGACAAGGGAGGUGACCUGUGGCCUGCUUCAGCGUAGGCCCCAGCCUUUAGUCGGACAGGGGAGGUGACCUGUGGUCUGCUUCAACGUAGGCCCCAGCCUUUAGUCGGACAGGGGAGGUGACCUGUGGCCUGCUUCAGCGUAGGCCCUGGCCUUAAGUUGAACUGGGGAGAUGAUCUGUGGCCUACUUCAGCGUAGGCCCAAGCCUUUAGUCGAACAGGGGAGGCGGGCCUGUGGCCUGCUUCAGGAUAAGUCCCAGCCUUUAGUUGGUCAGGGGAGAUGACCUGUGGCCUACUUCAGCAUAGGCCCCAGCCUUUAGUCGGACAGGGGAGGCGACUGUCUCCUGCUUCAACGGGUAGUUCCGAGCCUUUUAGCGUGACAUAGCCAAUCAGGUGACUUGCGGCUUGCUUCUGGGUCAUUCCCCAGCCUUUCAGUGCAAACGCCGCCAAACCCAGCAUCUGCAGUUCCUUCCGAAAAGCCAACGAAAAGAAAAAAAAACCCAAUGCCAGAGAAAGUCGGGCCGGCGUCUGCGGAGGGGAACGGACGAGCGACGUUCUGUUGCCAGGAUCCUCUCCCAUCACUCUGAAGAAGAACAGUAUCUCCAACCUCCGACCCAAAAUGGUGUCUGCCCGCUCCCUCCGCAGAUGCUGCCUGGACUUCCGAGAUCCUCCGGCAUUUUGUUUUUCGGAAGGAACCGCAGUUUGCGACAAAGAUUCUCCAGUUGCUCCACAUUCCAGCACCUGCAGCCCUCGCCUCUCCCUGGCUGAAUACUCGAAGCCCGCCUCGACCUGAAAUGCCACCUAUCCCUUCGCUCCAUAGAUGCUGCCUCACCCGCUGAGUUUCUCCAUCAUUUCUGUCUAACCUUGGAGCCUGCUAAUAGCAUUUUACCAGGGCGUCCUCGGUACAAAUGUGCCAGAUUAAACCUAAACCUAAACCGCAUCUAUUUAUGUUUGGGUUUGAUCGAGGGGAGGAACUGCA